rnacentral:lncRNA from 1 species
CUAUUGAAACGGGUCGAGAUCCAACACCAAACGAGUUACAUUUGCAUGUCCAUACGCAUGGUCAUGAUGGUAAAUCUUUUGUUGGUGAACGCUCUCGAAUUGUCUAUGUAAGUCCAAAAUUUUGAAACUUAUCUGAAUAUAUACAUGUCAUUUCUUAUUAAAAGGGAAAACUUGGCUGAAAAUGAACAGUAGUUUAGUUUCAUGGUUGGAUGUUCUUAUCUUGCUGCUCAACUGAUGUGUGGACUGUUUACUUCUUGAUCUUCGUAAGUCGUUCAGCUUUUAGAAAUUUCUGAGAGUGUUUCGACUUAUUGUUAGACUGUAAAUCAGUGGUGUAACUUGUUUGCUAUUCAUGUUGUUUUCUUGACUUUUGUCUCCUUGUAAUCUUGAUGAUUUGGUUUAGUCUCGAGUUCGUUUCUGCUUAGUAAGGUCCUCUUAUUUUACGGUUUUGGUUUGCUGUAAAAGUUGUGGUUCAGUCAUGAAGUCCGAAAUCAUUUUCUAUAGGAAAACAUAAAUGGUCGUACAUUCCCUGUUAUCCUACAUUACGAGUUAUUUUGUUCAAGAUUGCUGUAACUAAGAAAUUGAGUUUAAACGAGUCGAAAAGCUAUAUGUUUCAAGCUGCUGAAGUAUUUUUUUUGUAUUGUUAUUCUUUGUUAAAGUUCCUUCCAUUCUAACUAGGCUAUUGUUUGUUAUUGUCAUCAUCCUUACCCUUAAGUCAAGAUAAGACAAAAUUUUAGUGUUUACGUCUAAGUUAAGUUCGAUUCAAUAUUUGGUUGCUUCUUUCUUCAUGCUUCGACUUUGCUCUCCUUUCACUGCUCAACGUUGCGUUUGUAUCGAACUAUAGUGUCUACAUUGACACCCCNNGUUACAUCCUUCCCCCCCCCCCCCCCCUUUAUUAAGGAACAAUGAACUAUGCUAACCACCACCACCACCACCACCCCAUGUUACUAAUGAACUAUGUUAUCCGUCUCGACUGAUUGAUCGGAAUGAAAACGAUUAAUAUUGAACUGCUAAGAUGACAUUUAUUUAGGAAUUUUGACCCAUAAUUGACAUGCUAUGUGCAUGAACCUUAAGUUGUUAAUCAAACUCCAAUUGAAUAGCUUUGUUUUGUGCGUGGACUAUGCAUCUGGUGACUGAUCUUGGGGUUUUACUCUCUACAAGAAAUGCACCAUUAAAUGCAUAUGGACUUAAAGGAACAAUGUGUGAAAUUAAAGUGUGGAGGGAAAAAUCAGAACAAACACAAGCUUGAUUACUAAAUAGAUGUAGAAUUAUAUUGAAGAAAAAAGGAAGGUGC